rnacentral:rRNA from 1 species
ACGCACGCUGGCGGCGUGCUUAACACCUGCAAGUCGAACGGAAAGGCCCUGCUUUUGUGGGGUGCUCGAGUGGCGAACGGGUGAGUAACACGUGAGUAACCUGCCCUUGACUUUGGGAUAACUUCAGGAAACUGGGGCUAAUACCGGAUAGGAGCUCCUGCUGCAUGGUGGGGGUUGGAAAGUUUCGGCGGUUGGGGAUGGACUCGCGGCUUAUCAGCUUGUUGGUGGGGUAGUGGCUUACCAAGGCUUUGACGGGUAGCCGGCCUGAGAGGGUGACCGGCCACAUUGGGACUGAGAUACGGCCCAGACUCCUACGGGAGGCAGCAGUGGGGAAUAUUGCACAAUGGGCGGAAGCCUGAUGCAGCAACGUCGCGUGCGGGAUGACGGCCUUCGGGUUGUAAACCGCUUUCGCCUGUGACGAAGCGUGAGUGACGGUAAUGGGUAAAGAAGCACCGGCUAACUACGUG